rnacentral:rRNA from 1 species
UUUGACCUCAAAUCAGGUAGGACUACCCGCUGAACUUAAGCAUAUCAAUAAGCGGAGGAAAAGAAACUAACAAGGAUUCCCCUAGUAACUGCGAGUGAAGCGGGAAAAGCUCAAAUUUGAAAUCUGGCAGUCUUUUUUUUCUUCUUUGGCUGUC